AAUUGUUCCUCGUUAAGAGAUUUAAAUUGUACUCAUUCCAAUUACAAGAGGCAAAAGCCCCCUGUAUCAGUAUUUAUUGUCACUACCUCCCCGUAUCGGGAUUGGGUAAUUUGCGCGCCUGCUGCCUUCCUUGGAUGUGGUAGCCGUUUCUCAGGCUCCCUCUCCGGAAUAGAACCCUAAUUCCCCGUUACCCGUUGAAACCAUGGUAGGCCUAUAUCCUACCAUCGAAAGUUGAUAGGGCAGAAAUUUGAAUGAACUAUCGCCAGCACAAGGCUAUGCGAUUCGUUAAGUUACUAUGAAUCACCAAGAAGCCCGAGGGCAUUGGUUUUUUAUCUAAUAAAUACAUCCCUUCCAGAGGUCGGGACUUUUGCGCAUGUAUUAGCUCUAGAAUUACCACGGUUAUCCAUGUAGUAAGAGAUCAUCAAAUAAACGAUAACUGAUUUAAUGAGCCAUUCGCAGUUUCACUUUAUAAUUUGCUUAUACUUAGACAUGCAUGGCUUAAUCUUUGAGACAAGCAUAUGACUA
rnacentral:rRNA from 1 species